rnacentral:rRNA from 1 species
CAGUCGCCACGGUAAUACGAAGGGUGCAAGCGUUAAUCGGAAUUACUGGGCGUAAAGCGUGCGUAGGCGGUGAGUUAAGUCUGCUGUGAAAUCCCCGGGCUCAACCUGGGAAUGGCAGUGGAUACUGGCUCGCUAGAGUGUGUCAGAGGAUGGUGGAAUUCCCGGUGUAGCGGUGAAAUGCGUAGAGAUCGGGAGGAACAUCAGUGGCGAAGGCGGCCAUCUGGGACAACACUGACGCUGAGGCACGAAAGCGUGGGGAGCAAACAGGAUUAGAUACCCGGGUAGUCCCUGUCUCUUAUAC